UAUAUGGAAAACUAAUGGGCACUGAGGACUAGUGAGUGCCCCCCAGUAAAGCCUGGGAUGGGAGGUGGUGCUUUCCAGCAUGGUUUGAAGAAGGGACGGCUCUAAGACCUGGAACUCACAUUCCCAGAGACACCUGAUCAGAGGUUGCCCUCAGUCUGCUCUUGGAGUCCUCGGCUUCCUUGGAGAAGAUUGUGAGAAGGAAACAAACAGAAAGGGGGAAGAAAUAACAAGAAUAAGAGCAAAGGAUUAAAAGAUGGAUUCCGAGACUGGACUCAAACUCCCCUGGGAAAGAGCUGCAAGAAGACGGGCAGUCGUCCGGCCUUGGAUGCGGAAUGCCUGACACUGUUUGACAGAAACGGAAUGCUAGUUUAACAAAAAAGACCCAGGCAGCGCAUUCCCCACCAGGACGGAUUCGGGCUUUUUCCCUUGACAUCGACACCAGCUAAGACAGAAAAUAAA